rnacentral:rRNA from 1 species
UACGAAGGGGGCUAGCGUUGCUCGGAAUCACUGGGCGUAAAGAGUGUGUAGGCGGUGUUCUAAGUUUGUCGUGAAAUCUCCCGGCUUAACUGGGAGGGUGCGGCGAAAACUGGAAUGCUAGAGGAUGGGAGAGGUAAGCGGAAUUCCUGGUGUAGCGGUGAAAUGCGUAGAUAUCAGGAGGAACACCUGUGGUGUAGACAGCUUACUGGACCAUUUCUGACGCUGAGACACGAAAGCGUGGGUAGCAAACAGG